AUUUGCGUGAGGGGGAAAAAAUACCCGCUUGUCCGUCCUGUCCCUUCAGGCUGCGCAACGCUGGAGGGCGAUGGGAGCUCCACACAGGUGGGACGAGCCUAGCAGGACAAGCGUCGCCUGCACACGUCAGCACAAAUGGGAACAUGAUGAGUGAUGCUGCCUGGAGUUAAAGGAGGCCAGGAGCACCAGAAGCUGGAGGAGGCCGGGGUGGAUUCUCGCCUGGAGGCUUCAGUGGGAGCACGAGCUCCCGACACUUCGGUUCCAUCUCUUGUUUAAAGGCACCCAGUUUCUCAUCAUUUGUUACAGCACCAUGGAAAACCCACACACAAGUGAAGCCCCGACCCACCUCCCAAGUGCCCAUCUGAGCACCCCUCGUGGACUCUGAGCAGGGGGUUGCCAUCACCAACUCCAAGUCUUGCAGCCCCUCUUCCCUUCAGUCUGGCUGCCACCUUCUUCAUUGCCCUGGAAAAAAAUAAUGAAGUUUCACCAUUUAAAGGGUUUCAGUGCAGCUUGCUAUGGGAACACUGGAGAGUAACACAAAUGGCCAAUUGUCCUAAUAGCCACCAUGGAUUGGAUGGAUGCUAACAACAGGCUCACAGUUCUCCUUCUGUUGCCUCCUUUUAUCCACAUGAGAAUCAAACAAGAUCUUCUAGGAAUCUAAAAAUGUGUGUGAGAUUUCACCUGUAAAAGCUGAGUUAUUCUGAAUCUGCGUUUUCCUGAAGAUUUUUCUUUGUGUGGUCAGCCUUCUUGGAAAAAUCCAGAAGCCACCAUCAACUUACAACCCUGCAUGAAUAAAUGACUACUGAUUAAAUGAAGCCUUUGAUGAAGUGCAUGCAGUUUGUAGCUUGAUUCAUGGGAAUACUCAUCACAGACUGAAAGUGUAACCCAGGGUCUCUGGGUUUUUGGGAACGCGCUGUGUAAAAGUAUCUACUUGUAACUGUUACUCCCUGAGUUGUUGUUGUUUUAGAAAGUUCCAAGAAGAAGCUUAGCCUUGGAAAAAACAAAAACUGGUUGAAUCCAGAAGUGGAGAUGAAUUUUGGCCAACGCUCCUCACUGCCACACUAAAAACCCUGCUCAGAGAGGAGCUUAUUCACCAUGUUCUAUUCAUGCAAUGUGUGUGGAAACAUGAUCUACGACAGCAUGCGUGCUGCCUUCACCCUACCUCUACAUACAAUGACUCAUUUAACCUGCUGAAUAAAAGCCCUGUUUUCACCUU
ensembl:lncRNA LINC01229 long intergenic non-protein coding RNA 1229